CUCGUAGGCGGCUCGACAAGUCAACCGUGAAAACCCGGGGCUCAACCCUGGGACGCCGGUCGAAACUGUCGUGGCUAGUGUCCGGUAGAGGUGAGUGGAAUUCUCGGUGUAGCGGUGAAAUGCGCAGAUAUCGAGAGGAACACCAGUAGCGAAGGCGGCUCACUGGGCCGGUACAGACGCUGAGGAGCGAAAGCGUGGGGGGCAAACA
rnacentral:rRNA from 1 species